rnacentral:misc_RNA from 1 species
CUGAUUUUACCAAGGUUAGUCGAGUCUUUCGAGAUUCCUUUCCGAGGUGAUAUACCACUGUGCACUAUGCUGUAUUUUGGGUGAUUGGGGCUAGUACUCGACACCCAGCAUCAUAUGAACCAAUGAAAUUUUUUGUCUGAAAUCGAUUCUAAAUAGAAA